GUCGAAUCUGUUUUGAAAUCUCCAAGGAGAGGGUUUUUCCCCCUUUUUUUCACUCCAAAGCACUAUCUGUGGCGAUCAGACUGAGCAGGGUUGCCAGCAAAUGCAGGAGGCCCCUUCUAGGGUACAGGCUUUCAAACCAGCGAAGCUAGAGGGAAUGGAUUUAAGGACACACAGCAGGAGCUGGCUGGAUUCAUUUUAUUUUGACGGGGGUAGUUGGGGGAGGAAUAUCAUUUCUGAAAUGCCCAAGGAAUGAAGGGAGAGGAUAUGGAUUUCUUAAACAGUUUUUUGCAAGAGGAGCGGUGUCUUGUUCUGCAGACGGAAACACCAAAGCACAGAGUCAAGCGACUGAGUUCAUUCGCCUGGAAAAGAACUGCGCGUUUCCAGAGCUCUCACUCAUGGUCACCAUACUGCACUGCCUUUUCAUGAAGGGUGUAAAUACACGCCAUGAUUUGACUCCCAGCAUGACAAAACCAGACUUUUCCUGCCUUGAAGUCCACUGCCUUCAGCUAGUAAGUAGGGAAAGAGAGAUGGCCCACUUCUUAACCACUCCAUCUUGGAAGUGACACAGAUCACACAUCAUUGGAAAGAAAUAGUUACUGUCUUCACCUCAAACCUAAUGGGCUGAAAAUACAACCCCUUGCUGGCAACAGCGUCCUUACAACUCUACACCAUGGGAGAGGCAUAGAAUCCCUGACAGACAAUUUGUGCCACAAGAACACUCUCAGGCCUUCCACCAUCCCCAGGUGUGGCAUUGGAGAUGAAGGAGAGGAAGGUGGGGGUGUUCUGACCUAGUCAGUGAGGUUCUGAAAGUCUUGGGGUAGUUCCUCAAAGAAGUCAAAAUUGAAUAAGAAGCUGAGCUAAACCUCCACAGGAAGACAUCAACCACAAAGUUAGAAGGGGAGUCUGAGGCUCCAGAAAGUGACCAAACAGAAGAGGCCAGGUGCAGAGAUGAAGCUGGAAUGUGGGGCUCAAUAUUGAGAAGGCAGAGAAAGGAGAACAAGGGGAUUGAGGGAAAACUCCAGGUGGGGGCUCUGGAAGGAUUUCCUUAAACAGAGUCUACUACUUGUGUACAAAGCAAUGGAGGUGAGAGUGGGCUGGUUCCAGGGCUGGGGACAGCAUGGACAGGACAGCAGCACUUUCCGUUGACACACAUAUGGAAGAAUAGGUGGCCACACAUGGACUCCCCAAAGCCUAGCUGCCUCUUCGUCAUAACUGCACUUCUGUAUAGUGCCACCCCCAAGACGACAG
ensembl:lincRNA